rnacentral:rRNA from 1 species
ACAGAGGGUGCAAACGUUGUUCGGAAUUACUGGGCAUAAAGCGCACGUAGGCGGCUCGGAAAGUGCGAAGUGAAAUCCCACGGCUUACCCGUGGACGUGCUUUGCAUACUGCCGAGCUCGAGGACGGUAGAGGAGAGCGGAACUCUUGGUGGAGCGGUGAAAUGCGUAGAUAUCAAGAGGAACACCAAAGGCGAAGGCAGCUCUCUGGUCCGUUUCUGACGCUGAGGUGCGAAAGCCAGGGUAGCGAACGGG